CACUGAGGGAGAUAAACAAACCAGCACCUGAGAGCUUGUCAUCACUCAGCACUAAGUCUGUUUUGUCUGCCGCAGGGCUCGUCUUGACGUGUACAAGUAUAAAUAGAGGAUGACUGGCAAAUGACAAACCAUAACUGUCCACGGGGGCGAGUUGUGUGUGGAAAUGAGGUCGCAGAUAACGUGGUGCUUUAUACUUCAAAGAAGACCCUGAUAUGCGAUCACGUGCAAAUGAACCAAGUGACUGCCUUCAUCGACGCCUCUCACACCUAUGGCUCGGACAAGUGUGAGCAGCAGCAACUGAGUACCAAGUCGGACGGCAUGCUACGAGGCACACCCAACCCCCUGCGAGGCAAAGACCUGCUGCCCACUGAGAAUGAGAACCACGAGUGUCAGGCUCCCUCUGGCCGGUGCUUCACUGUAGAAUUUGUCACUUGUUACCCCCUUACUGGACCAAGAGAGUGAAAUACGCCGUGUGUACAGGGUAGCUGGCCAGGUGACUCUUGAUGACUGUGUUGGUGACAGAACCCUGGCAGGAAGAGGUGACGUUGCCUUGGAUAUUCAGAGUGAGGGAGACUGGCAGAAGACACAGAGGAACGACUGUACGAGCUCCGCAAGACAAGCCUGGCCCGGGUGAUCUGCGACGACAGUGAACGCAAGCUACGGUACGUCCAGCCCAAAGUAAUGCUGGAGGCCGACUCUUUCCUCAGAUGAAAAAGGAGCCACUGAGGUGCUGGUCCUUAACCACAAAUUAAAAUAACAAGAAGCAGCAUCGGCCAAGAAGAGAUUACGCGUGGAAAGAGGAAGGAUUGGGGCUCGGCUCACGGCAACACUACCCGUGUGUGCAUUCUUGGGCCGUUCCGGAUCUGUGGACUUCCGGCAAGCAAAUCCCUUCUUUUAAAGCUUGGUGUUGACUGACCUCUGACAACCUGACUGGUGAAUGUGGAUGAGGGGACAAGAGAGCCAGUGUUCCAAGUACCACCACCAUCACCACUGCCACCACCACCACCACCAUCAGGAGCACAGAUUCACUGAAGUCUCUACCAAGAUUUCUUUGAGUUUUUUGAUAAAUUUAACUUCCAGGAGAGAGAGAGAUGCUGAUUGUUAAAGGUAGUGUGUGAAGCCUGCCCACUGUCUUUGUAUAUACAGAAGGUGGAAUUUGAGUCGGCCAAGCUUCAGAAAUGCAGGAAGGAUUAGCGGUGAUGACUGCAGGCUGCCAUCGACCCGCAGGUCAUCACAGGAAUCAAAUGCAGCAUCAGUAUGGCUCACCAAACACUUCCCCUCACACUGGUGGUGUUGACCUGCCUUGUGAACACCUGAUCUCCUGUGCUCCUGUCCUUCACAGCUCUCCAGGUGACAUCAGAAUGUGGAUGAGGGGACAAGAGAGCCAGUGUUCCAAGUACCACCACCAUCACCACUGCCACCACCACCACCACCAUCAGGAGCACAGAUUCACUGAAGUCUCUACCAAGAUUUCUUUGAGUUUUUUGAUAAAUUUAACUUCCAGGAGAGAGGGAGAUGUUGAUUGUUAAAGGCAGUGUGUGAAGCCUGCCCACUGUCUUUGUAUAUACAGGUUAGGGUGUGUGUGUGUGUGUGUGUGUGUGUGUGUGUGUGUGUGUGUGUGUGUGUGUGUGUGUGAGUGUUUUGUAUCCUCCACACUGCUUGUCUUAAUCUAGCUUGCCACACUCCAUGAAGUCAUCCACAGCUACAGCCUUCUUCUUCCUUUCAUUUGUCUCUCCACAGUCCUAUGAACAGCACCACCAUUCACUUCCUGCCCUCUCCACUCUCCCUAACUCCAAAUCACUUGCACCACAUCUCCACCUCAUAUUUCUGACACUGUAGUAUCAUGUGCUCCACCACCUCAUCCUCCCCAUGGCUCACGUUGCUGCAAGACUCACACCUGUAACUCUUUGCAUUCACAUCCAUACACUGUCCUUGCUUAGAAGAGGUCACCAGCCAGGCUUCCCUCAUACCACCUUUCAUACAUUGAGUGUUAUGUUCCAUUCUGUUCUAUUCAUUCAAUUUAUCCCUCUUCUCUAAUCUAUCUCACUUUUCCACCUUGUAUCUCAAUGUAAUCUGUCCCUUGUUCUGUCAUGGUGAACCUGUCUUCCCUCUAAAGGUCACAGUUUGAAGUGUUCCUGCUGGUCUUCUAGGCUUGUGUUGGGCUUCUCUUUGUGCAUUUACAGAAACACAAUUUAAGUUUAGGUUAUCAGAGUGGUGAUAGGAAGAGCUGGUUCUUCCUCAUUAGUAAUAGAAUGCUGGUGCGGAUGACACACAGCUCAGCGUUCCUCUUGAUUCCUCCCACUCCACACCACCAGGCACUAAACACUAUCUACUGUGUUUACUGAUGCAAUUGUUCUGUGGUUUUCCCUGUUCAUUCUUGCUCCUGUGUCCUUCCUUAUGCAACAGAGUCACCCAGCAUUCAUUCUACCUUCUCUGCACUCUCUUCUCUCCACACCUAGUGAAAUAACUCAGUAUUAUCACCCACUUCCCUUUAUUCCUAAACAUACAGCACAGGGUAUCUCAUCUGGCCCUGCUACCUUCCCAAACUUCUGCCUUUUUUUGCACUUUCUUCAUGUCCUGCCUGCUGGUUCUCUCAACUUGCACACACCUUGCCUGUUCAGUGUCACAUAUCAGUACAUAGGCUUCUCCACAGUGGCUCCUUGUCCCUCACCACCAUUCUCUCUGUCAGUCAAGAGGUUCUCCAUCCAUCUCAGCAGCUUCCACACAUGGCACCCUAUCAAAGGCACCCCUAUUUAUUGCCUGUCCAGUGUCACACAUCAGUACAGUGUGUGUGUGUGUGUGUGUGUGUGUGUGUUUGAGCAUUCUUGUAUUUUGAUUUAUUUAUUUUUUUUGAAAGGCCACAUUAAUCAGGUCCUCAAAGGUGUUUUUUUUCCUGUUUCUAUUUGUUAAACUGUCACUGGAAUCAUGAAAACUCAGUAACUGUAACCUGUUAAACUGCUUCACCAAUUACCAUUCAAUUAGUCCUAACAUUUUCAAACUGGUCGCAUUGUUUGUUUAUUGGUUUUAAAGUUGUAAUUUGUAACAAUACAUUAAUAAAAUUCUCUGCCUCAAAA